rnacentral:rRNA from 1 species
UACGUAGGGUGCGAGCGUUGUCCGGAAUUACUGGGCGUAAAGAGCUCGUAGGUGGUUUGUCGCGUUGUUCGUGAAAACUCACAGCUCAACUGUGGGCGUGCGGGCGAUACGGGCAGACUGGAGUACUGCAGGGGAGACUGGAAUUCCUGGUGUAGCGGUGGAAUGCGCAGAUAUCAGGAGGAACACCGGUGGCGAAGGCGGUGGUCUGGGCCGGCACUGACGCUGAGGAGCGAAAGCGUGGGUAGCAAACAGG